UAAUACCUGCAAGUCGAGCGAUGGAUUAAGAGCUUGCUCUUAUGAAGUUAGCGGCGGACGGGUGAGUAACACGUGGGUAACCUGCCCAUAAGACUGGGAUAACUCCGGGAAACCGGGGCUAAUACCGGAUAACAUUUUGAACCGCAUGGUUCGAAAUUGAAAGGCGGCUUCGGCUGUCACUUAUGGAUGGACCCGCGUCGCAUUAGCUAGUUGGUGAGGUAACGGCUCACCAAGGCAACGAUGCGUAGCCGACCUGAGAGGGUGAUCGGCCACACUGGGACUGAGACACGGCCCAGACUCCUACGGGAGGCAGCAGUAGGGAAUCUUCCGCAAUGGACGAAAGUCUGACGGAGCAACGCCGCGUGAGUGAUGAAGGCUUUCGGGUCGUAAAACUCUGUUGUUAGGGAAGAACAAGUGCUAGUUGAAUAAGCUGGCACCUUGACGGUACCUAACCAGAAAGCCACGGUUAACUACGUGCCAGCAGCCGCGGUAAUACGUAGGUGGCAAGCGUUAUCCGGAAUUAUUGGGCGUAAAGCGCGCGCAGGUGGUUUCUUAAGUCUGAUGUGAAAGCCCACGGCUCACCCGUGGAGGGUCAUUGGAAACUGGGAGACUUGAGUGCAGAAGAGGAAAGUGGAAUUCCCAUGUGUA
rnacentral:rRNA from 1 species